UUCAGAAUUAGGUCUUUUUUUUGGGCUGAUGGGUCUCACCAUCAGGGUUGGAGGUUGCAGCCAGUAAGAGAGUGGCUUAAGGCUGUGUUCUGCCUGUGGACUUGGCUUCCAGGCAGUUGCUGAGAAAGGUGGUGACCAAGGAAAGGCCAGUAUCUGGUUAACCUCUUCAGUGCUGUGCAUCUAAGUGCUGGCUGUCACCUGCAUCACAGGAGAGUCUGCAGGCUGAGACCAAGUGCUCUGUGCUGAUCGGUGCAUUGUAAGACAGAAGCCUUUAUCUGACAGAUAGGACAGAAGCACAAGACACACAAAGGAAGCGCAAGAGCUCUCACAUCAGUGUUAACCAAAAUCCUGCCUGGAUGAUUCCUUGACAAUGAAUUGAUAAACUUUCAGCAUGCUAAUGAUGCUAUUGGAGAAAUAAGCAGCCUGUGUGGGUAAAAUAUUCUAUCAAUUCCCAUAACCAGAGGAUUUUUGCAUCCUUUUUGUUUGCAGACUUCUUAUUUUCUAGUCCUGGUGACUGCUGAAACCAAGUUCCUCAUGUAGAUCACUGCCUGGUUUGAAGCCAUGUGGUUGUUCCAAUGUUCUCUGUCCUGUAAACAUCUCCUAGAACAUGGCACACCACUUCAUCUGUCUCUCAUUAAGCAGAGAAUGUGAUUAUUAUUAUGCACGGAGUUGUCAAGCCAGUCUGGUGUUUGCAGACUUUACCAAGGAUCAGGUAUCCUCCUUCACCACGUUGCCAUCCUCUUCUCAAUAGCUGCCCCUGGGAAAGCUAAGGAAUGUGUAAAAAAAAAAAAAAUAAUAAUCAAAUCAAAUAUACAGUACACAAGAGAAAGUGCCAAAAUUCAGGUGGAGUGCGUGUCAAGGAAUUAUUUAAAGCAUCUGAAGUUUGAAAUCUAUCGAGGCUGAAGUUGAAGUAUCAGCUGGGAUCCAGGCCUAAGCUUGGUCACAAACAGAACAUGCCAAGUGCUCAGGAAGGGAGCAGAGGCAAAGCUAACUCUUUUGUGGCUGUUUCUUCCCACCUGGAGCUCCAGCAGAGGGAAAACACAGUGAAGAGAAUGAAAAGCUGAAGGGAACAAGUGUCACUGCAGUGUGGUGCAUUCUGGAGAGCCAGUUGUUAACUUGUGCCUGCUACACACACAGACUUGUUGGUCCCGGUGGGAUGAGACUGCUUCCCUUUCCAUUUUGCAGCUCUUUGGUUUCCUCUCCUGAGACUGGCAACAGUAACACCGUGUAUUUGUCCACUGUCUCUGCCUGGGCUCUUCUGAUUUCACCCUUCUCAUGUUCACCUUGCCUUAGGAAAGAGUGCAGUGUGCUACAGAGCACAGACGUGCAUAUGUCGUUGUGGUAGAAGAAGGAGUGGGAGCCAUCUGCCUUCAGUAAGUGCAGGUGUAUCCCUCUGGAGGUGGGACUUAUGUCAAGUGCCCUUCAACUGCCUAAGCUUACCUCCUGAUAGGGUUGUGCUCAUUAUGUCAGGGCUAGCCACUGUUGAGAGAAAGGAGUCUUAUCAUUUGCCAGUUUACUCUGAUACCCUGUGUGUGUAUGUUGUCUUUAACCAGGCUGAAUAAAAAGCAGGGAGGUCUGCUCAUCUCAUGG
rnacentral:lncRNA from 1 species